UACGGGGGGGGCGAGCGUUGUCCGGAAUUAUUGGGCGUAAAGGGCGCGUAGGCGGAAUGGUAAGUUAGGGGUGAAAACCAUGGGCUUAACUUAUGGCCUGCCUUUAAAACUGCCAUUCUUGAGUACGGUAGAGGGAAGCGGAAUUCCUGGUGUAGCGGUGAAAUGCGUAGAUAUCAGGAAGAACACCGGUAGCGAAGGCGGCUUCCUGGACCGCAACUGACGCUGAGGCGCGAAAGCGUGGGGAGCAAACAGG
rnacentral:rRNA from 1 species